CUAGAGCUCAUUCUGUGUUCAAGUCUCGAACGGGCAACAGCUCCCAAAAUUAUUUGUGCUAAUAAAUAUUAAAUAAAAACAUCAACAAAAAAAAAUUAAAGUGAAAUAAAUAAAAAAUUGAAAAUCCCAAAAUUAUUUGUGCUAAAAAAUAUUAAAUUUCGACAAAAAGAAAUUAAAUGAAAUAAAUAAAAAAUUGAAAAUCCCAAAAUUAUUUGUGCUAAAAAAUAUUAAAUUUCGACAAAAAAGAAAUUAAAGUGAAACAAAAAAUUGAAAAUUCCUUGCAUCUAGUGUGCCUUGAUUUUGGAUUAGAAAUAAUUGAAUAAUAGCAGUCAAGGGAUUUUUAGCUAUUGUUUUAUUAAAAUCACAAAAAAAAGCAAAACUGUCGCAGCCUUAUCCGCCGCAGAUGCGUCUUGGAGACAAUGAUAUAACAUUCAAGAUACAUAUUCAUUAAUACUUGAUUAGACAGUUCCUGACCCUUCAUAUGUUCAGUAACUGAAGAGAAAUAACGUGUGGAGGACUUCAUAUUCAUAGUAGCUACAAAAGUGCCAUAUGACUUGUUUUUGUUCUUCGACGAGUGGCAUACACUAUAGAGUGCAAAAUAUACCAGAUUGUGAGCCAAAGCAUAAACAAGAUAUGUUUGCUUCAUGCCAGAUUUACAUCGAACAACCAUCGCAACUUCGUUGUAACCGCUUAAAAACAUUGAUGCUGUAUGUUCAUUGAUUGUGCUUAUCGAUCUAGGCCAGACUAAGCUG